GACGAACGCUGGCGGCGUGCUUAACACAUGCAAGUCGAACGGAAAGGCCCUGCUUUUGUGGGGUGCUCGAGUGGCGAACGGGUGAGUAACACGUGAGUAACCUGCCCUUGACUUUGGGAUAACUUCAGGAAACUGGGGCUAAUACCGGAUAGGAGUUCCUGCUGCAUGGUGGGGGUUGGAAAGUUUCGGCGGUUGGGGCUGGACUGGCGGCUUAUCAGCUUGUUGGUGGGGUAGGGGCUUACCAAGGCUUUGACGGGUAGCCGGCCUGAGAGGGUGACCGGCCACAUUGGGACUGAGAUACGGCCCAGACUCCUACGGGAGGCAGCAGUGGGGAAUAUUGCACAAUGGGCGGAAGCCUGAUGCAGCAACGCCGCGUGCGGGAUGACGGCCUUCGGGUUGUAAACCGCUUUCGCCUGUGACGAAGCGUGAGUGACGGUAAUGGGUAAAGAAGCACCGGCUAACUACGUG
rnacentral:rRNA from 1 species